rfam:Kitasatospora sp. Root187 contig_10, whole genome shotgun sequence.
GGGGAUGAUCGGUUUCGACAGGGGAAGUCGAAACAGGAGAAGCGAGCCGAGGAACGCGGCAAUGAUCUCGUUAACCAUCUGCCGCAAAACAAUAAUCGCCAAUUCUAAGCGCGAUGCCCAGCAGUUCGCUCUCGCUGCCUAAGCGAAAGUGAACGGGUGUCAGACCGGGGAGUUCCCGACCCGGACCCUGGCAUAAUUUAGGGAACUCAACUUGCCACCCCGGUCACGGGGGUCGGUGGGGAAAUCAAACAGUGACUGGGCCUGUUGGCGGCUUGUCCGUGUGACUGCCAGGGCCGAGAAAAUCACAGCGGACUGCGCUCGGAGAAGUCCUGAAUCCACUCCACUGGACCCGGGUUCGAUUCCCGGCAUCUCCACCA